CAGUAGCCGCGGUAAUACCGAGGGUGCAAGCGUUAAUCGGAAUUACUGGGCGUAAAGCGUGCGUAGGCGGCUUUUUAAGUCGGAUGUGAAAUCCCUGAGCUUAACUUAGGAAUUGCAUUCGAUACUGGGAAGCUAGAGUAUGGGAGAGGAUGGUAGAAUUCCAGGUGUAGCGGUGAAAUGCGUAGAGAUCUGGAGGAAUACCGAUGGCGAAGGCAGCCAUCUGGCCUAAUACUGACGAUGAGGUACGAAAGCAUGGGGAGCAAACAGGAUUAGAGACCCCCGUAGUCCCUGUCUCUUAUAC
rnacentral:rRNA from 1 species